CUUUGUCCUUUUCCUGCUUGAAGGUGCUGUGUAGAUGUCAAGUCCCAUUCAGUAAAUGAUGCAAGGAUUUGGAAAGCAGAAGAACGGGUAGAGAUGGUGCCCUGCCAGUAAUUGCUGGAAGCGGAGGAGAAGGGAGCGGUAGGAUAUUGGCACGUGGAGAAGUGCAGAGAUAUUCCUACUCUGGCUGAUUGUUUUUAAUAAAGUUAUUUUUAUAGUAAUU